AGAGAGAGAGAGAGAGAGAUCCAUUUAAGUUAGAAGCUGAAUUUUUUUCCAGUCCCUUUUUGUUCAUCUUUUUGCCAAUAUCAGAAAGAAAUGAGAUUACAGGUCAAGAUUUUCUUUGACGAAUGCACGGAUGAUACCAAACAAAAAGAUGCGUGGCGGCAACAGUUGUUUUGACAAACAAAUGACGGAUCUAAUUCAAUACCAUAUUUGAUAUUAACAUGAAUU
rnacentral:misc_RNA from 1 species